rnacentral:rRNA from 1 species
UACGUAGGGUGCAAGCGUUGUCCGGAAUUAUUUGGGCGUAAAGAGCUCGUAGGCGGUUUGUCGCGUCUGCUGUGAAAUCCCGAGGCUCAACCUCGGGCCUGCAGUGGGUACGGGCAGACUAGAGUGCGGGUAGGGGAGAUUGAAUUCCUGGUGUAGCGGUGGAAUCGCAGAUAUCAGGAGGAACACCGGUGGCGAAGGCGGAUCUCUGGGCCAUUACUGACGCUGAGGAGCUGAA